rnacentral:rRNA from 1 species
UUGUGGUUAAAAAGCUCGUAGUUGGAUCUCGGCGGACUGAGGGCGGUUUGCUUGCUAGUAUUACUGCCCUAUAGUCCGUAGUUUUGCCAGAGGUUUCGGGGUGCUCUUAAUCGAGUGUCCCGGGAUGCUGGCAGGUUUACUUUGAAAAAAUUAGAGUGCUCAAAGCAGGCUAUUACGCCUGAAUAUUCGUGCAUGGAAUAAUAGAAUAGGAAGUCGUUUCUAUUUUGUUGGUUUUCGGAAAUCGACUUAAUGAUUAAUAGGGACAGUCGGGGGCAUUUGUAUUCAAACGACAGAGGUGAAAUUCUUGGACCGUUUGAAGACAAACUACUGCGAAAGCAUUUGCCAAGAAUGUUUUCAUUAAUCAAGAACGAAAGUUAAAGGUUCGAAGGCGAUUAAGAUACCGCCCUAGUUUUAACCAUAAACGAUGCCAGCUAGCGAUCUGCGGACGUUUUUUUUGUAGACUCCGCA